CUGUGACGCGGGCGGUUCGCCGCCCGCGACUCUGCGAGAAGUCCAUUGAACCUUAUCAUUUAGAGGAAGGAGAAGUCGUAACAAGGUUUCCGUAGGUGAACCUGCGGAAGGAUCAUUG
rnacentral:rRNA from 3 species